ACGGGACCCGCACAAGCGGUGGAUGAUGUGGUUUAAUUCGAUGCAACGCGAAAAACCUUACCCACCUUUGACGUGGCAGGAAUCCCGAAGAGAUUUGGGAGUGCUCGAAAGAGAACCUGCACACAGGUGCUGCAUGGGCUGUCGUCAGCUCGUGUCGUGAGAUGUUGGGUUAAGUCCCGCAACGAGCGCAACCCUUGCCAUUAGUUGCCAUCAUUUGGUUGGGCACUCUAAUGAGACUGCCGGUGACAAACCGGAGGAAGUGGGGAUGACGUCAAGUCCUCAUGGCCCUUAUGGGCAGGGCUUCACACGUCAUACAAUGGUCGGUACAGAGGGUUGCCAAGCCGCGAGGUGGAGCCAAUCCCUUAAAGCCGAUCGUAGUCCGGAUCGUAGUCUGCAACUCGACUACGUGAAGUCGGAAUCGCUAGUAAUCGCAGAUCAGCAUGCUGCGGUGAAUACGUUCCCGGGUCUU
rnacentral:rRNA from 1 species